rnacentral:rRNA from 1 species
UACGGAGGAUCCGAGCGUUAUCCGGAUUUAUUGGGUUUAAAGGGUGCGCAGGCGGGAUGUUAAGUCGGCGGUGAAAUUUUGCAGCUCAACUGUAAAAGUGCCUUCGAUACUGGCUUUCUUGAGUGUGGAUGAAGUAGGCGGAAUUUGUGGUGUAGCGGUGAAAUGCUUAGAUAUCACGAGGAACUCCGAUUGCGCAGGCAGCUUACUAAACCAUAACUGACGCUCAGGCACGAAGGCGUGGGGAGUCAAACAGGAUUAGAUACCCU